rnacentral:rRNA from 1 species
GACGAACGCUGGCGGCGUGCUUAACACAUGAAAGUCGAACGAAGUGGCGAACGGGUGAGUAACGCGUAAUCAACCUGCCCUUCAGAGGGGGACAACAGUUGGAAACGACUGCUAAUACCGCAUACUGAGUGAUGGGAUUCCGUCUGAUUAGCUAGUUGGAGGGGUAACGGCCCACCAAGGCGAUGAUCCGUAGCCGGUCUGGUAGGAUGACCGGCCACAUUUGGACUGAGACACGGCCCAGACGCCUACGGGAUGCAGCAGUGGGGAAUCUUCCGCAAUGGACGAAAGUCUGACGGAGCAACGCCGCGUGAGUGAUGACGGCCUUCGGGUUGUAAAGCUCUGUUAAUCGGGACGCGGUACCGGAAUAGAAAUCCACGGCUAACUACGUGCCAGCAGCCGCGGUAAUAU